rnacentral:rRNA from 1 species
CGGGGGGCAGCAGUGGGGAAUAUUGGACAAUGGGCGAAAGCCUGAUCCAGCCAUGCCGCGUGAGUGAUGAAGGCCCUAGGGUUGUAAAGCUCUUUUGUCCGGGAAGAUAAUGACUGUACCGGAAGAAUAAGCCCCGGCUAACUUCGUGCCAGCAGCCGCGGUAAUACGAAGGGGGCUAGCGUUGCUCGGAAUCACUGGGCGUAAAGGGUGCGUAGGUGGAUUUUUAAGUCAGAGGUGAAAUCCUGGAGCUCAACUCCAGAACUGCCUUUGAUACUGAGAGUCUUGAGUUCGGGAGAGGUGAGUGGAACUGCGAGUGUAGAGGUGAAAUUCGUAGAUAUUCGCAAGAACACCAGUGGCGAAGGCGGCUCACUGGCCCGAUACUGACACUGAGGCACGAAAGCGUGGGGAGCAAACAGGAUUAGAUACCCCGGU